GACGUAGGGCGCGAGCGUUGUCCGGAUUUAUUGGGCGUAAAGAGCUCGUAGGCGGCUUGUCGCGUCGACUGUGAAAUCCCGCGGCUCAACUGCGGGUCUGCAGUCGAUACGGGCAGGCUAGAGUUCGGUAGGGGAGACUGGAAUUCCUGGUGUAGCGGUGAAAUGCGCAGAUAUCAGGAGGAACACCGGUGGCGAAGGCGGGUCUCUGGGCCGAUACUGACGCUGAGGAGCGAAAGCGUGGGGAGCGAACAGGA
rnacentral:rRNA from 1 species